UACGGGGGAUGCAAGCGUUAUCCGGAAUUAUUGGGCGUAAAGGGUCCUGAGGUGGCUAGCCAAGUCUAUUGUGAAAUAUCAGGGCUUAACCCUGAACAUGCGGUGGAAACUAGAAAGCUUGAGUACAGUAGGGGCGGAGGGAAUUUCCGGUGGAGCGGUGAAAUGCAUAGAUAUCGGGAAGAACACCAACGGCGAAAGCACUCCGCUGGGCUGAUACUGACACUGGACAGACGAAAGCUAGGGUAGCGAAAGGG
rnacentral:rRNA from 1 species